UACGGAGGGUGCGAGCGUUGUCCGGAAUCACUGGGCGUAAAGGGCGCGUAGGCGGCCCUCUAAGUCAGACGUGAAAUCCCUCGGCUCAACCGGGGAACUGCGUCUGAUACUGGAGGGCUUGAAUCCGGGAGAGGGAUGUGGAAUUCCAGGUGUAGCGGUGAAAUGCGUAGAUAUCAGGAGGAACACCGGUGGCGAAGGCGGGUCUCUGGGCCGAUACUGACACUGAGGAGCGAAAGCGUGGGGAGCGAACAGG
rnacentral:rRNA from 1 species